CAGAUCCAAUCUGAGUAGAAAGGCUUUUCACCAAAAAGAUCAAUUUUGAGGUAUUUCUAGUCCAAUAUGCACAGUUCCAGUCUCUAAAUCUUUGUUUACUUUAAGCUACAUUUAUUCUCCAAAUAAUGGGCUCUGCUUUGUGUCAUUAUUGCAUAACCUAGUGGCUCUGUUUUUUCUUGGUUGUUGGAGGAGAGAAGCAUUCGUAGGGGGGCUAAAUCAUGUUUCGGUCAUCACCACAUAGGAGCCAGAGAUCAAAAGGUUUUAAGGUAAAGCAUGCUGUACA
rnacentral:misc_RNA from 1 species